rnacentral:rRNA from 1 species
UACGUAGGGUGCAAGCGUUAAUCGGAAUUACUGGGCGUAAAGCGUACGCAGGCGGCUAUGUAAGACAGGUGUGAAAUCCCCGGGCUUAACCUGGGAACUGCAUUUGUGACUGCAUAGCUAGAGUCUGUCAGAGGGGGGUGGAAUUCCACGUGUAGCAGUGAAAUGCGUAGAGAUGUGGAGGAACACCGAUGGCGAAGGCAGCCCCCUGGGAUAAGACUGACGCUCAUGUACCAAAGCGUGGGGAGCAAACAGG